AACGAACGCUGGCGGCAUGCCUAACACAUGCAAGUCGAACGAGACCUUCGGGUCUAGUGGCGUACGGGUGCGUAACGCGUGGGAACCUGCCCUUAGGUGCCGAAUAACUCCCCGAAAGGGGUGCUAAUACCGGUUAAUCUCUUCGGACCAAAGAUUUAUCGCCUUUGGAUGGGCCCGCGUUGGAUUAGCUUGUUGGUAGGGUAAAAGCCUACCAAGGCGACGAUCCAUAGCUGGUCUGAGAGGAUGAUCAGCCACACUGGGACUGAGACACGGCCCAGACUCCUACGGGAGGCAGCAGUGGGGAAUAUUGGACAAUGGGCGAAAGCCUGAUCCAGCAAUGCCGCGUGAGUGAUGAAGGCCUUAGGGUUGUAAAGCUCUUUUACCCGGGAUGAUAAUGACAGUACCGGGAGAAUAAGCUCCGGCUAACUCCGUG
rnacentral:rRNA from 1 species